GCCGUGAUAAAGAUUACGCCCGAAUGAGUCAGGACCGGAAGGUAGCAGCUAUAAGGGAAUGUGUCUUGUAUCACGGUUUUU
rnacentral:SRP_RNA from 14 species